AGUCGCACGCAGUCGAUCGGGAAACUCACAGUUUUAAUUUAGAUUCCGAGGCAUGCUUCUAUCGUGAAUGGCGGGCCGCAGUCUCUCGGGGCAGACGGAUUACAAACGCGGUAAGGCUCUCAAAUCCUGUCUAUCGGAGUUUUGUUUGAAUCCACGGUGCGACUUUCUUU
rnacentral:sRNA from 1 species